rnacentral:pre_miRNA from 14 species
UUCCUCCUCCUCUGAAAGACCCCCGGAGUGGGGAGACCCUCACUCAAGUCUCGGGAUGAUGCGACCCCCCAAGAACUCACGUGAGACC